rnacentral:lncRNA from 1 species
AAUUUAUAAUGACUACACACUGGAAGGGUUUUAACUGGGAAAGCGUCAUUAGUGUGACAAGAUGGCCUCACUUACGUCCACUUGCAGUGCUUCCACCAGCAGCGCAGGAGACGUUCCUCUUCAGUGUUCCCCUUGGACACUAACAGUUUUGUGAUUUCGGGCUUUCUGGUGGGUGCAGAGGUGUCUGUGUGGUGGGCAUUUGCUCUGUGGUGAGGGAGGCCUGCACCCCGUCAGAGUCCCCUGCCACCUGCAGCUCUUCUUCGGAGCCUCUGUCCAAUGUCGUGACUGUGUGCCGUGGGGUGUCUCCUUCUCACCGGUUUGCAGGAGCUCAUCGUACAUUCUGGAGGCGAUUCUUUCGCCAGUUACAGUCCAUUCUCGCUAUUCGUGGUUGCUUUGCUCCAUAAAGUCACCGCAAACACGGAAUUACUGAGUGAGGGAUCACGAAGCCCUGCUCCUGGGGAAAUCAGCGCCAGCUUCCGCGAGGUGCGGCCGCAGGUUUCCUCAGAGGGUGGGCAGAGCCUCGUUCCGAGUGUGCUUCUGCUGAAAGACACCGCACUUCACGCACGUGGCUGAUGCGUGAACGUCGAGCCCGCGGCAGACUGCCCUCGGCCUGCAGGAGCCCACAUGACGCGGGAUCUUCUCCGUCAGGCCCGUCCGGCCUCCUGCACUUAGAACACCAGGCGGAACUCCAGCUCCAGGCCUCGGGCCGUCUUCACCAACAAAAAGCACAAAGGUGUGGAAAACGUGGCACUAAACAGGCGGGAAAGGACACUUGUUGACACGUGAGCUGAAACCAGAAGGCAGAGCGUCGUCCCGUCCACCUUCAGUCGGGAGCGUGCGGGUCCCCAAAAGACCACGGAAGCACCGUGAGCGUGGAUUGUGGGGCCACAGACAAACCCCAGGGAGGGGGUGAAUUUGCAAUUAUGGGGGAUCCACUGUGUCUGCACCACAGAGCACACAGCCUCCUCCAGAGCGGGCGGCCCUGCCACCCUUUCCAUGCUGGCUUUUGGUGAACAGGCCUUCUUAGUUUCCACCUUUUCCAGUGAUCUGCCUUGUCCUUUCUGGCAAGGGCUUGGGGUGCUGUCCAGGCACCUGCCUGGGCAGAGGCGGUGAGGAUGCUGGAGUUGCUGUCUUUCACAUUUACAUCUCCCAGCCAGCAGGCCUGCUCCGGCAGGCGGUGUGAGGUGGGGUCCAACUGUGGUCUAGUGACCCAGCACACUGACCAGGGAGAAAAGAGAAAGAUCAUUUGGCCCCUCCGGCAAAGCUGAGAGGAAAAAAACCCUGACGGCUGUUUUACGACCCUGCUUGCCAACUCGUGACCAGCUGUGUCACACACAUCGAUAGGACUGCUGCCGAAGUUUGAGAGACUUUCUCUGCUUCUUUCAUCUGAAAGCAGGGAAGUUCUGGGCAGCGCACGUUCCCUGCGCUGUGACUGGUCUGGAACGUGGCUGCUGAUCUGAUGAGCCUUCCCCAUGAUGUCCUCGUCACCUUGGCUGUCGGGACUCUGUGUGACCUCGUCAACGUCAGCAUUUCCUGUGAAGUCAGCGGGUGCUCAGUGCCUUUCUCAGGGUCCAGUGACUCACUCCUCCUGGUGUGUUGCCACCGGAGCUCCUGGAAGCUGUUCUCUACUCCAGGAUGUCCGGCAUCAACUUCAUUAUGCAGGGAAGUGACGGGGACGACAUAAAUACACUCCACUGAACCCCAGCUGACAUUUCCACAACUCAACUUACCCCGGGCCAGAUCCCAAAAGUGCCCCCACCUCUCCAGCAAGAGGGGAAGCACGACUGGGAGCCCGAGACGGCGUGGGAACCGCUGUGGUCACAGCACCUCAGUUCAUCAGGUUUUACAAAACUCUAUGACCCUACAGACCCUGCCAUGUGUGCCGCGCUGUGUCCCUGGGGGGCCUUUGUCCAUCUGUGCCCACUGCCACGCUGUUCCCGCUGCUCUGGCCAUAUGGUUGCAAUCUAGGAGAGCCGAGGCCCCCACAUGUGUCCUAGGUGCAGGCAGGACCUUUCCCUCCAGUGGCCGACUGCCGGCCUUUUCCAGCUUCUGGAGCCGCCAUCCCUGCAUCCCUGUGCUUGCGGCCCCUUCCUCCAUUGUCAAAGCAACACAGCAUUUAUCCUAAAAUUUGCACCCAGGAUUUGUUUUAAUCAGAUAUGGGAAGGUAACAGAAACAGAGGCAACUGCCUUUGAAAGAAGAAUCUAUUACUUAUAUUUCCC